UUCCAGCGUCUAGGCUCCUUUCCUGAUUGUGCAGCCCGACGGUGAUCUAGGUCUCCUGAUGCCACCGGGAGACAGAAGACCAAAGGGAUGUACAGGUAUAAGCGAUUAUAGCCUCUGGGCCAGGACUCAACUUCAGCCAUCUGAUAAUCAGAGUUUGGAGCAACUUCCUUGUUCUCUACAAGAUUCCCAACAAUGACUCAGCAAUGUCUCCCCCAGGAUUUCUGGAUUCCUUCCUUCCUUCCUUCCUUCCUUCCUUCCUUCCUUCCUUCCUUCCUUCCUUCCUUCCUUCCUUUCUUUCUUUCUUUCUUUCUUUCUUUCUUUCUUCUCUUUCCUGAUAAAAGAUGAACCAGCCCAAUCAAAGCGAAAUGGGACAUUAAGAAGACAGGAACCAAGGUGAAGUCUCUCAGCAAGAAUUCCAGCUUGAUUAACAUUUGCAGUGGCAUUAGCCUGCAUGGGGACAAUAUUCUUGUUUUUUUUUUUUUUUCUCAAAGAGAUUUAAAUAAGAAUGACAAACAACAAUGGAUACUUAUGCCCAAGCAGAUACAUGGCUUCAAGCCUUGCUCAGUUGAAAACCUGUGAUCUCCUGGGAGUCUCACAAACAGUACUUCAUCUGUAGCAAAAGUGCAACUUAACUCCUGCAGACCCCCGGUGACACACUUCAUCCAGCAAGGCUGUACCAUGGAAACCUCCCUAAACAGCGCCACUCACUGAGGACCACAUAUUCAAACGCUGCCACUCACUGGGGACACUUAUUCAAAUGCUGGAGACUAUGGGGACAUUUUUCACUCAAACCGCUGCAACAAAGGUCUCAUAAAAGAACUACUCUGGCUGCUAUAGAUGGCAGCAAGGAGCUGCUAUGGCCUCACUGCUGCUAACAGAGCUAAAAAUCACUGGGCCUGGUGGCCAAGCCUUGAAAUUCCAACUACUUGUGAGGCUGAAGCAGAAGGAUGCUAUUUUGAGGCCAGCCUGGGUAUCCCACCAGACUUUGUGACAAAAUAAAACAGGGUACGGGUGUGCUUGGUGGUGGACCCUCGAUUCCAACUCCCAGCACCAUGGUAGAGCAUCAGUGCCUGGUGUGAACCCUCCUCUCUUUAACCCCGUUAUUUCUGAGGUACCAGAAUUCAUUUUAGAGAUGGGUGUUACGGCGGCAGCCUAUGAUCUUGAGAACUCGGAAUCCACCACGUUGUUCUUUUGGACCAAAUAAUCAAAUAGAGUUGAGGCCCAGAGCAAGCACACUCCACAGCAGCCACAGGUAGCUGAAUAAACAAUUACACGGAUGACAACCGGAACCUGUUUGAAUCCUUCCCAGCAUGCAUCGCGUCACCCCCAGGAAAGAAAGGGAACUAUAUUUAUUUUCUGCGCCCUGGCUGGGUGUAAUCAGCAGAUCUCUCCUCUGAGAAGGGAGAGGAUGUCUGCUGGUCUGGAUUAAAACACAUUAGCAGGGGAAGCAUACGGUCAUUUACACCGCGCCUGCUCCCACACUGAGCCAAGGUUAACACAUUAAUGAAAAGGAAGAGCGCGGUAUAAAUGUUGAGCCUUAUUAAACAUGAGAUCAUCGCUUCCGGCUAUCUUUAUUAGGGAACGUCUCCCUCCUCCUGUGCCUGCACACUGACUAUCGUUCUUCUGAGAGCUAAUUGUGUUUUGGAGGAAGAACGGCAGCAGUUCGCCGUGUGACUGCGAGGACGGACGCUGCUCCAGAUGGGUUUCGUUGAGAUGAUACGGGAAGAAAAUGGCACUAUUUACUUAAGGACAGCCUUGCAUUUUCUUUUGUUCCUUCAACAGGUUACUAAUCACAGGAGUGGUAAUUAGCCUCGACAGAGCGUACACAGAAAACGAUAAAUGGAGGCUGUGUGCACGGAGGGGCCUCUGCCUUGCCAGGCUUAUUAUUUCCAGUCCCGCUAAUUGUCCUUAUUAUGCCGCGUGACUCUUUUUUGCUUGAAUUAUGAGCGAAAAAGUGCUGAAUAGAAUUAUUUUUUUUUUCCAAAGUGCCCUGAACUAUAGAGGGAAAUGAAAAUCACAAACAAUGAAAAGCUUGUUAAACAAUGAGAGUGAUCAUCUAUAACGGCAUCCUGAAGGGACAUCCCUCUUCCUGCGCCAUAAAAAUGUAAAGUGCU